GAGACAUUGUGGCUGCAGGGGCCAGCAGCACACAGGUCUAAAGGACACGGCUGGUUGCAGGGGAUAUCGCAAAGGAAUUCCAGGAAUGAAUACGUGCGGGAGGUUGGCGAAGUGGUAUUUGUCCUGCUAACCUCUCACAACUAUGGUGGUGAAUCACUUGCGCCCUGGGCCAGCACUCGGCCCGGGGGUGGUGGGUGGUGGUCCUGUGGCCAGGGCCCCAGGCAGAGGCCCCAGCCCCGGCUCGGCUGGCUGCCCUGGCACUGCUGGACCCACCGAUGCCGUGCUUCUCCAUGAGCGUGAUGAGCUCGGCCUCCGUCAGGUAGUCGGGGGGGCUUGUCUGCUUCUCCAGCAUCUUGACCUCGCCCACGGCGAGGCUGUCACCCCUCUGGCAGGUGGGCAGGCUCUCCUCCAGGGGGAUGCUCUGCCAGGGCAUGAUCUCUGUGAAGCCUGCAGAGACAGGGCGCCGCCGCUCAGGGCCUGAGAGCAGGGCUGCCCACCUGGGUCCCCCGAGGUGCCCGAGCGUCUGUGGACGGGGAGGGGCGUCCGCCUGGCCGCACCCCACCUGGGGAGAUGACGGUCUUGCCCGUGCAGGUGAAGCGCUCGGGCCCGAUGCGGAAGGAGACGCUGCUCUGCAGGUACCUGCAGUCGUGGCUGACCGUGGCGAUGAAGUGCCUGGUGAUGUACUCGUACAGCCGCCAGGCCUCGCCCCCUGUGGUGGGCACGGCUGGUUAGCGGCCGGGCGGGGGCACCAGGAAGCCCGGCAUGCCAGCACUGGCCUGCUCCAGAGCCUGAGACCGGGAGGGACCUGCUCCCACCUCCUGCCCCUGCUCCCAGGGGAUCUGCUCUCCAGGGCCUGGCCUGCCCCACAAACCACCUGCCACCUUCGCUUCAGACUGGGGCUUCUGUCUCCACCGCAGCCUCGCUCCCCUGCCUCAUCCUGGCACGCGGGCCACCAGCAUCACCUUGUGGCAGGGAGGUGAGGGCACCCCAUGGUUGAGCCUGUCCCCUGCCCGGUCUCAACCGAUCUGUCUGGCCACCUGCCUGCCCACCCACCUCACCCCACCUCCUGCAGCAGCACCCACACCUGCUUUCACACACCUGCUGCCACCACUUCACUCCUGUCCCAUCCAUGGAGACAGAGCACAACUUUCAGGUGGCCCCUUCAUCCCAGCCGGGGCAGGGGGACCCCACACUGCCAAGGAGGCCUGAUAAGGGCCAGAGGUGCCAUGUCCCGAAGCCCCUCACCCCACCCUCCUUGGAAGCUCAAAGCCUGAGUGUGUGUGUGCACGUGUGUAGGAAUGUGUCUGUGUGAGGGCGUGAGCAUGUGUGUGGGGAGUGUGAGGGUGAGAACGUCGGAGGAGCCGCAAUACCUAAUUCGGCCUCUGUGGCGGAUCUCAUGGGGGUGAUGGGGGGGUGGUCGCCAGCAUCGUGGCCUUUCCGUGGGCGGUUGAUGCCUUCCGCCAACAACCGCUUCACCUGCAGGGGGGACAUGAGGCAGAGCUGAGUUCAGGUGCGGCUGCCCACCCACGAGGACGAGGCCCGUGGGCUGGGGCUCCAGCCUCACCGUGUCGGCCCAGUAGGGGUGGUUGGCCUGCUGCCGCAGAGGCCCCUUGAGGUCGAAGUUCUCGGGGUAGUGGGUGGUCUCGGUCCGCGGGUAGCUGAUGUAGCCCUGCGUGUAGAGGCGCUCGGCCGUCUGCAUGGCAUGCUGCGGGCCCAUGCCUGCGGAGACAGAGGCCCAGCGGCCCCAGUGCCAGGACGGCAGACGCCCGCCCCGGGCCUGGGCACUCAAGCUCCUGGGAGGCGAGCGUGGCUCUGAGCAGCUGGGGGACUGUGCCCACACAGCCUUCCCCAAGGCCAAGCUUCCCACCUCCAACAGGCACGCCUGUGUCACCCGAGAUGUUGAAAUGUGGCCUUCAGAAAACCUGUCUCAUGCCCUGCCUGGAGCCACCCUAAGCCCUGGGCUCUGUGAUGUCUGGCUAAGACAGUGGAAUCUGCACAUGCCCUCCGUCCUGAGCCCUCAGGGGUUUCUGUCCUCCAAAUCCAGGGCCACUGAUGGAGGCUCAUCCCUCUGUUCCUCCCUGAGCCACAGUCUGGCCUAGCUAGCAGGUACUCGAUGUCAUCGCUGACCCAUGAAGGUCCCCAGAGGUGCUGCUCUGACAGGACACUGCCUACGGUUUCCUGAGGCUGCAGAGGGGUCACUGGUGCCUGGGGGCCGACAGCUGUGAGAGACCAACCUUUCAGCAUAACCUUCUUGCCACUGUGGAAACGAGGCUCAGAGAGGCCACGUCACACCAGUUACACUGUCCUGAGCAGGAGACACGGGCCUCAGUGCCCUGCCCACACCUGGCCUCUCCCUGCACCAGGGACGCCAGCGCUGCCUGUCCCCCUUGGUGGCCACCUUGUCACAACUGCUAUUGUUAGGAUGCUCAGUUUCACACCAGGGAAACCUAAGACAGCUUAGAGAGAAGGGGACUGCGGUCGCCCAUUUUCUCACGAGGAAACUGAAGCUUCAGGACAAGGAAGCAAGGGGCCUGGCUGGGAUUUGUACCAAUUUUUCGUUCUGGAGCUGGAACUCCACUGUUUAACGCCUUGGAGUGGGUGGCACCCAGCCAGGGACACAUGAGGGCCCAGUGGCUGCUCAGACACUUAGUGACAUGAAAUGGUCUGGUUUUCCCCACAAUUCAAAUACGCUGUUGAGUGUUAACCAACAGUCCUAUGAAAGGGAAUCCUCCCUGCUGUUUGUUGUCACUUGUUACUGCUUUGGAAUUUAAGAGAAAUAAAAUCCACGUGAUGUUCUGACUCCCUCUAA